rnacentral:rRNA from 1 species
AGUGAACGCUGGCGGUAGGCCUAACACAUGCAAGUCGAACGGCAGCACAGUAAGAGCUUGCUCUUACGGGUGGCGAGUGGCGGACGGGUGAGGAAUACAUCGGCAUCUACUUUUUCGUGGGGGAUAACGUAGGGAAACUUACGCUACUACCUCAUACGACCUACGGGUGAAAGCAGGGGAUCUUCGUACCUUGCGCGAUUGAAUGAGCCGAUGUCGGAUUAGCUAGUUGGCGGGGUAAAGGCCCACCAAGGCGACGGUCCGUAGCUGGUCUGAGAGGAUGAUGAGCCACACUGGAACGGAGACACGGUCCAGACUCCUACGGGAGGCAGCAGUGGGGAAUAUUGGACAAUGGGCGCAAGCCUGAUCCAGCAAUACCGCGUGGGUGAAGAAGGCCUUCGGGUUGAAAAGCCCUUUUGUUGGGAAAGAAAAGCAGCAGGUUAAAACCCCGCUGUUCUGACGGUACCCAAAGAAUAAGCACCGGCUAACUUCGUG